rnacentral:rRNA from 1 species
GACGAACGCUGGCGGCGUGCCUAAUACAUGCAAGUAGAACGGUGAGGAGAGGAGCUUGCGCUUCUUGGAUGAGUUGCGCACGGGUGAGUAACGCGUAUGUAACCUGCCUUGUAGCGGGGUAUAACUAUGGGAAACGAUAGCUAAUACCGCAUAACAAUGGAUGACACAUGUCAGUUAUGUGAAAGGGGCAAUUGCUCCACUACAAGAUGGACCUGCGUUGUAUUAGCUAGUAGGUGAGGUAAUGGCUCACCUAGGCGACGUUACAUAGCCGACCUGAGAGGAUGAGCGGCCAGACUGGGAGUGAGACACGCCCCAGACUCCUACGGGGAGCAGCAGUAGGGAAACUUCGGCAAUAGGGGCAAACCUGACCGAGCAACGCCGCGUGAGGGAAGAAGGUUUUCGGGUCGUGAAGCUCUGUUGUAGGUCAAGAACGGGUGUGAGAGUGGAAAGUUCACACUGUGACGGUAGCUUAUCAGAAAGGAACGGCUAACUACGUG